rnacentral:rRNA from 1 species
UACAGAGGGUGCGAGCGUUGUUCGGAAUUAUUGGGCGUAAAGGGCGCGUAGGCGGUUCGGCAAGUCUGUAGUGAAAUCUCUGGGCUCAACUCAGAGUCUGCUGGGGAAACUGCCGGGCUUGAGUGUGGGAGAGGAGAGUGGAAUUCCCGGUGUAGCGGUGAAAUGCGCAGAUAUCGGGAGGAACACCUGUGGCGAAAGCGGCUCUCUGGACCACAACUGACGCUGAGGCGCGAAAGCUUGGGGAGCAAACAGG